AAUAUUGCGCAAUGGGCGGAAGCCUGACGCAGCGACGCCGCGUGGGGGAUGAAGGCCUUCGGGUUGUAAACCUCUUUUACCACUCACGAAGGCCCCUGGUUUUCUGGGGGUUGACGGUAGGUGUUGAAUAAGGACCGGCUAACUACGUGCCAGCAGCCGCGGUAAUACGUAGGGUCCGAGCGUUGUCCGGAAUUAUUGGGCGUAAAGAGCCCGUAGGCGGCCUGUAGCGUCUGCUGUGAAAGUCCGGGGCUUAACUCCGGGUGUGCAGUGGAUACGGGCAGGCUUGAGGUAGGCAGGGGAGACUGGAAUUCCUGGUGUAGCGGUGAAAUGCGCAGAUAUCAGGAGGAACACCGGUGGCGAAGGAGGGUCUCUGGGCCUUACCUGACGCUGAGGAGCGAAAGCGUGGGGAGCGAACA
rnacentral:rRNA from 1 species